rnacentral:rRNA from 1 species
UACGUAGGUGGCUAGCGUUGUCCGGAUUUACUGGGCGUAAAGAGCGCGUAGGCGGUCGUUCAAGUCGAGUGUGAAAGCCCCCGGCUCAACUGGGGAGGGUCACUCGAUACUGAUCGACUCGAAGGCAGGAGAGGGAAGCGGAAUUCCCGGUGUAGUGGUGAAAUGCGUAGAUAUCGGGAGGAACACCAGUGGCGAAGGCGGCUUUCUGGCCUGUUCUUGACGCUGAGGAGCGAAAGCGUGGGGAGCGAACAGG